rnacentral:rRNA from 1 species
CAGCCGCCGCGGUAAAACGAGGGGGGCUAGCGUUGUUCGGAAUUACUGGGCGUAAAGGGCGCGUAGGCGGCCAUUCAAGUUAGAUGUGAAAGCCCUGGGCUCAACCUAGGAAUUGCAUUUGAUACUGUUUGGCUUGAGUUCGGGAGAGGUGAGUGGAAUUCCCAGUGUAGAGGUGAAAUUCGUAGAUAUUGGGAAGAACACCAACGGCGAAAGCACUCUGCUGGGCCGACACUGACACUGAGAGACGAAAGCUAGGGGAGCAAAUGGGAUUAGAUACCCCUGUAGUCCCUGUCUCUUAUAC